CACGUAGGGUGCGAGCGUUGUCCGGAAUUAUUGGGCGUAAAGAGCUCGUAGGCGGUGUGUCGCGUCGGCCGUGAAAACCUGCAGCUUAACUGUGGGCUUGCGGUCGAUACGGGCAGACUGGAGGUAUGCAGGGGAGAACGGAAUUCCUGGUGUAGCGGUGAAAUGCGCAGAUAUCAGGAGGAACACCGGUGGCGAAGGCGGUUCUCUGGGCAUGCCCUGACGCUGAGGAGCGAAAGUGUGGGGAGCGAACAGG
rnacentral:rRNA from 1 species